rnacentral:rRNA from 1 species
UCCUACGGGGGGCAGCAGUGGGGAAUAUUGCACAAUGGGGGAAACCCUGAUGCAGCAACGCCGCGUGAGUGAGGAAGUAUUUCGGUAUGUAAAGCUCUAUCAGCAGGGAAUAGAAAAGAAGGUACCUGAAAAAGAAGCCCCGGCUAACUACGUGCCAGCAGCCGCGGUAAUACGUAGGUGGCAAGCGUUGUCCGGAAUUACUGGGUGUAAAGGGAGCGUAGGCGGGAAAGCAAGUUGAAUGUUUAAGGUACGGGCUCAACCUGUACAAGCGUUCAAAACUGUUUUUCUUGAGUGGAGUAGAGGUA